rnacentral:rRNA from 1 species
AGAGUUUGAUCAUGGCUCAGGAUGAACGCUAGCGGCAGGCCUAAUACAUGCAAGUCGGACGGGAUCCAUUGAUAGCUUGCUAUCAAUGGUGAGAGUGGCGCACGGGUGCGUAACGCGUGAGCAACCUGCCUCCAUCAGGGGGAUAGCCUCUCGAAAGAGAGAUUAACACCGCAUAACAUAAUGUUCCGGCAUCGGAGGAUUAUUAAAUAUUUAUAGGAUGGAGAUGGGCUCGCGUGACAUUAGCUUGUUGGUGGGGUAACGGCCCACCAAGGCGACGAUGUCUAGGGGCUCUGAGAGGAGAAUCCCCCACACUGGUACUGAGACACGGACCAGACUCCUACGGGAGGCAGCAGUAAGGAAUAUUGGUCAAUGGGCGGAAGCCUGAACCAGCCAUGCCGCGUGCAGGAUGACUGCCCUAUGGGUUGUAAACUGCUUUUGUCCGGGAAUAAACCUCCUUACGUGUAGGGAGCUGAAUGUACCGGAAGAAUAAGGAUCGGCUAACUCCGUGCCAGCAGCCGCGGUAAUACGGAGGAUCCGAGCGUUAUCCGGAUUUAUUGGGUUUAAAGGGUGCGUAGGCGGCCCGUUAAGUCAGGGGUGAAAUACGGUGGCUCAACCAUCGCAGUGCCUUUGAUACUGACGGGCUUGAAUCCAUAUGAAGUGGGCGGAAUAAGACAAGUAGCGGUGAAAUGCAUAGAUAUGUCUUAGAACUCCGAUUGCGAAAGCAGCUCACUAAGCUGGGUAUUGACGCUGAUGCACGAAAGCGUGGGGAUCUAACAGGAUUAAUACCCUGGUAUUCACCCCUUAACCAUGAUAACUCCAUGUUGGCGAUAACAGCAGCGUCCCACGAAGCGUUAAUUUAUCCCCCUGGGGAAUCGCCCGCAAGGUUUAA